CAGCCCCACCUGGCCACUGGCGAGGCUCGGCCUCACCAGAUCUGGCGAGGCCGAGCCUUGCCGGUGGCUGGGCUUGCCCAGC
rnacentral:pre_miRNA from 1 species